CAGCCGCCGCGGGAAUACGAAGGGUGCAAGCGUUACUCGGAAUUACUGGGCGUAAAGCGUGCGUAGGUGGUGGUUUAAGUCCGUUGUGAAAGCCCUGGGCUCAACCUGGGAAUUGCAGUGGAUACUGGGUCACUAGAGUGUGGUAGAGGAUAGUGGAAUUUCCGGUGUAGCGGUGAAAUGCGUAGAGAUCUGGAGGAAUACCGGUGGCGAAGGCGGCCCCCUGGACAAAGACUGACGCUCAGGUGCGAAAGCGUGGGGAGCAAACAGGAUUAGAUACCCCGGUAGUCCCUGUCUCUUAUAC
rnacentral:rRNA from 1 species